GAUGAACGCUGGCGGCGUGCCUAAUACAUGCAAGUCGAGCGAACGGACGAGAAGCUUGCUUCUCUGAUGUUAGCGGCGGACGGGUGAGUAACACGUGGAUAACCUACCUAUAAGACUGGGAUAACUUCGGGAAACCGGAGCUAAUACCGGAUAAUAUUUUGAACCGCAUGGUUCAAAAGUGAAAGACGGUCUUGCUGUCACUUAUAGAUGGAUCCGCGCUGCAUUAGCUAGUUGGUAAGGUAACGGCUUACCAAGGCAACGAUGCAUAGCCGACCUGAGAGGGUGAUCGGCCACACUGGAACUGAGACACGGUCCAGACUCCUACGGGAGGCAGCAGUAGGGAAUCUUCCGCAAUGGGCGAAAGCCUGACGGAGCAACGCCGCGUGAGUGAUGAAGGUCUUCGGAUCGUAAAACUCUGUUAUUAGGGAAGAACAUAUGUGUAAGUAACUGUGCACAUCUUGACGGUACCUAAUCAGAGAGCCACGGCUAACUACGUGCCAGCAGCCGCGGUAAUACGUAGGUGGCAAGCGUUAUCCGGAACUAUUGGGCGUAAAGCGCGCGUAGGCGGUUUUUUAAGUCUGAUGUGAAAGCCCACGGCUCAACCGUGGAGGGUCAUUGGAAACUGGAAAACUUGAGUGCAGAAGAGGAAAGUGGAAUUCCAUGUGUAGCGGUGAAAUGCGCAGAGAUAUGGAGGAACACCAGUGGCGAAGGCGACUUUCUGGUCUGUAACUGACGCUGAUGUGCGAAAGCGUGGGGAUCAAACAGGAUUAGAUACCCUGGUAGUCCACGCCGUAAACGAUGAGUGCUAAGUGUUAGGGGGUUUCCGCCCCUUAGUGCUGCAGCUAACGCAUUAAGCACUCCGCCUGGGGAGUACGACCGCAAGGUUGAAACUCAAAGGAAUUGACGGGGACCCGCACAAGCGGUGGAGCAUGUGGUUUAAUUCGAAGCAACGCGAAGAACCUUACCAAAUCUUGACAUCCUUUGACAACUCUAGAGAUAGAGCCUUCCCCUUCGGGGGACAAAGUGACAGGUGGUGCAUGGUUGUCGUCAGCUCGUGUCGUGAGAUGUUGGGUUAAGUCCCGCAACGAGCGCAACCCUUAAGCUUAGUUGCCAUCAUUAAGUUGGGCACUCUAAGUUGACUGCCGGUGACAAACCGGAGGAAGGUGGGGAUGACGUCAAAUCAUCAUGCCCCUUAUGAUUUGGGCUACACACGUGCUACAAUGGACAAUACAAAGGGCAGCGAAACCGCGAGGUCAAGCAAAUCCCAUAAAGUUGUUCUCAGUUCGGAUUGUAGUCUGCAACUCGACUACAUGAAGCUGGAAUCGCUAGUAAUCGUAGAUCAGCAUGCUACGGUGAAUACGUUCCCGGGUCU
rnacentral:rRNA from 1 species